GACGAACGCUGGCGGCGUGCUUAACACAUGCAAGUCGAACGAAGUGGCGAACGGGUGAGUAACGCGUAAUCAACCUGCCCUUCAGUGGGGGACAACAGUUGGAAACGACUGCUAAUACCGCAUACUGAAGUCGGGGAUUGCGUCUGAUUAGCUAGGUGGAGGGGUAACGGCCCACCCAGGCGAUGAUCAGUAGCCGGGCGGAGGGGAUGGACGGCCAGAUUAUGACGGAGACACGGCCCAGACAUCUACGGGAGGCAGCAGUGGGGAAUCUUCCGCAAUAGACGAAAGUCUGACGGAGCAACGCCGCGGGAGUGAUGACGGCCUUCGGGUUGUAAAGCUCUUUUAGUCGGGACGCGGUACCGGAAUAGAAGGCCACGGCUAACUACGUGCAAGCAGCCGCGGUAAUAC
rnacentral:rRNA from 1 species